rnacentral:rRNA from 1 species
AUUGAACGCUGGCGGCAUGCCUUACACAUGCAAGUCGAACGGCAGCACGGGAGCUUGCUCCUGGUGGCGAGUGGCGAACGGGUGAGUAAUACAUCGGAACGUACCCAGUCGUGGGGGAUAACGUAGCGAAAGUUACGCUAAUACCGCAUACGUCCUGAGGGAGAAAGCGGGGGACCGUAAGGCCUCGCGCGAUUGGAGCGGCCGAUGUCGGAUUAGCUAGUUGGUAGGGUAAAGGCCUACCAAGGCGACGAUCCGUAGCGGGUCUGAGAGGAUGAUCCGCCACACUGGGACUGAGACACGGCCCAGACUCCUACGGGAGGCAGCAGUGGGGAAUUUUGGACAAUGGGCGAAAGACCUGAUCCAGCCAUGCCGCGUGAGUGAAGAAGGCCUGUGU